GCGUAUAUUAAAGUUGUUGCAGUUAAAAAGCUCGUAGUCGGAUUUCGGGUCGGGCCGAGCGGUCUGCCGAUGGGUAUGCACUGUUUGGCGCGGCCUUCUUUCCGGAGACCGCGGCUACUCUUAACUGAGCGGGGGCGGGAGACGGCACUUUUACUUUGAAAAAAUCAGAGUGUUUCAAGCAGGCAGCUCGCUCUUGCAUGGAUUAGCAUGGGAUAAUGAAAUAGGACUUUGGUGCUAUUUUGUUGGUUUCGAACACCGGAGUAAUGAUUAACAGGGACAGUCAGGGGCACUCGUAUUCCGUCGAGAGAGGUGAAAUUCUCAGACCAAUGGAAGACGAACCACUGCGAAAGCAUUUGCCAGGGAUGUUUUCACUGA
rnacentral:rRNA from 1 species